UAUAUAAUAUUUUAUGCACACAUAAAAUAUUUUAUGUCAUUGUACGAUUUCUUAAUUGUUGAACAUUAUAUUGGUUCAAGCCUUAUAUUUAAUUACUUGUGUAUAACCUCAGUGUGGGGUCACAUGGGCUCUUUUGACCAAUCAAAUUCAGUGUUGGCCAUUGUGGCCCUUUGUAUCCUUUUAGACUAACGAGGAAUCCAAUAUGGUCGAAAUUAACAAUUACGCUCUUAGGCGAUACUUCCAAGGAUUAAUUUUAAUAGGAUAUGAUGCCGUUUCAUUCCGUUUAUGUGAAGGAUUAUCUCUCGUUGUACGAAGACUUACACCAAUGGUGUUAUCCCGUGUGAUACUAAGUUUAAAGGGCAGUUGAACGAGUACACAUGCUUAUCACUAUCACUACUUAUCAGUAUCAGUGCCGUGUGCAGAAAACUUUGCGACGUAUACGCAGUCUACCGUGAAAGGUUUCCAAGAUGGCGGCGCCCACAGCGUAAUUAGCGCAUAUCGCCAGUCACUUUUUUUAUGCUGAUCAGCUACACAGUUGUCGCUGCCCUGUAUCAGUCAUACUGAUUCAGUUCAGAUAAGUAUUCAAAUAUCGUGUUAACAUUUGUGCCUGACUUUAAGUUCUGGCUGUUUAAAUUAUUAUUUUUUCUGCCUUUUUAAGAAUGAUGAUCAAUUCGGGUCAGCUCUAUGUAUCUUGUAUAUUUAUUAUUGUCUUAUUUAAUUUAAAGUUCAGCCUGGGCUUAUACUUUAUGAAUAUUUACGACACAUUUGUAUUGUCAGUUUAGCUGGGUUUCCCACUGUCACAUUAACAGAUGUCUUCACGUUUUUAUGAAAUAAACAAUGAAACACCCUUUCAUUUUAGUCUAUAUAAUUAUUACCAUACCUCAUUUAUAUGGUCAACGUGUGUAUUUUAAAAUUCUUGUGAUGUGUUUUGUUGUGCUAUUGUUGUUCAUGUUUUCUUUAUGGCAAUUAUUUGGUCGUAAUAUUUUCAUUAACAUAUCCUUGUUAAGUCUGUAACUACUAAAAACUAUAAGUAAUUUUAAUAUUCUUAAAAGCUUCAUAUUCAUAUAUAUAUAUAUAUAUAUAUCUUAUUUGUAUGUGGUGUGGUGUGUCUUAUAGUCACAAUGUAAUUUUAACCUUCAAGUUUUGUCUUGUAGUCACAUCUGGUCAGUCUAUUUGUGACUUGUAGUCACAAUAGUUCACAUAAGGUUAUACCCAAGGAGUGUCCGUAAAGGUGACCGGUAGCUGCAGAAUCCCCCAGCCCGAGCCAGAGAACAGAAAUAUCCUUUCACGUAUCCUUCAGUUAAUGAAAAAGCGUGUCUUUAUGAUGCCAAAAACUUGCUGAAGUUUCUUUCUACAUUUUUAUUUAUCAAACUAUUUUCCAUUAUUAUACUUUCAUUAAUGCUUCAUAAGUGUAAUAUCUAUCAAUUUUAAUUUUUUUAUAUAAAUUUUAUGUACAGGUAUAUGUUUUGUAAACACAUUUUGAUUUAUAUAAUUAUAUACAUAGGUGUUUCAUCAAAUAAGCAAGUUUCAGGUUUCAAGUAUUUGUGCCAUGCCUACCUCUCAACACCGCAAUACAAAGGACCUGUCCGCUGGCUGGCACUUCCUGUACAAGUACUACAAAGGGGCGAUAAGGCACGUUCCCAGCCCUUCCUUUGAACACUACAUUAACCUGCCUACCUCUCAACACCCCAAUACAGAGGACCUGUCCGCUGGCUGGCACUUCCUGUACAAGUACUACAAUGGGACGAUAAGGCACGUUUUCAGCCCUUCCUAUCGAACACUACAUUAAACCACGAAGGACCAGAACGAACAAUUACGGCUAGAAACAGGAAGACUUCACUCUUCAGAACAUUGUGUUUUAUCUAGUGAUCUUCAGUUUUUAUGUUUUAUAUGUCAUACUUAUACAUUUUUAAUGUUAUGUCCGAUUAUAGUUAUCAGCUCAGGCUGAUACUAAUGGUUUAGUUCUCUCCGAAGUAAGUAUGUAUAUGCCUGAUUAAAAUUUUUUCAGUUUAGACUGAUAUUGAUGUUAUAGUUCUCUACGAAGGAACUAUUUUUAUGCAGGCCUUGAUUAUAUUUUUCAAUAUUCGGCCUGAUUUUGCUUAUACCGUUCAGGCUGAUAUUGUUGUUAUAGUUCUCUACACAGGAACUAUGUUUAUGAAGGCCUUGCUUAUUCAUUUUUCAAUAUUUGGCCUGAUUUUGCUUAUACCGUUCAGGCUGAUAUUGUUAUUAUAGUUCUCUACGCAGAACUAUGUUUAUGCAGGCCUUGCUUAUUUAUUUUUCAAUAUUUGGCCUGAUUUUGCUUAUACCGUUCAGGCUGAUAUUGUUAUUAUAGUUCUCUACGCAGAACAAUAUUAUAGUUCUCUACGCAGAACUAUGUUUAUGCAGGCCUUGCUUUUAUAUUUUCCAUUAUUCAGCCUGAUUUUAGUUAUACCGUUCAGGCUGAUAUGGAUGUUAUAGUUCUCUACGCAGAACUAUUU